rnacentral:lncRNA from 1 species
CAGACGCCGAACGGACAGAGUUUCCCCUAUCCGCCCAAGGCUCAUCACAUGUACGUUUUCAUCAAUAGAGAAAAGCACUAGCGGAAACAUACACAACCGGCUUACAUGAGGGUAAGCAAUAGCCAUUAGUGAAAGAAAGGAAAGCUAACAUUUACAUUCAUGAUUCUUUGAACUACAUUACACAUUGCAUCAUUUCUUUCUUACAUCACAUUUACCUCAAAAUAAGCUUUACAUUCUUUACCUUUCAUCACUAGUCAUCAAAUACAAAAUAUGAACAUAGGGUACUCUACUAACAAAAUGUAAACCCAACUCAACUCUGGUGGCCUCUGUCUAAGGCGCGAUACCUUUACCUCGGUCGCUCGCCGGCUCCUCGGUCCCGGCUCUGUGGAAAUAGUGGGGUGAGAACUACAACAAAGUUCCCAGUGGGUUCGGCCCCAACAUCACCGACUUUCCCACUAGGACUAACUCAGGCAUAAUAGAAGGAUAAGCUGAAAUAUAAUAACCAAUCUACAACAUGAUGUUAAUAUGCCUGAACCAUAAAGCAAGGAAUAUGCUCAACAUUAACAUAUGCAGAUUAUGCAAGUUCUUUCGUUCUUUAUCUUUACACUUUGUUCUUUGUUCUUUGCUCUUUACUCUUUAUUCUUUAUUCUUUAAUCUCAAGGCUAACCCGGGGGUUUCGCCACAUUAACCUGCUUCACAUUAAGUCCAUCAUCGCAGGAACUCACCCGCUAGGACCGUCC